rnacentral:ncRNA from 1 species
AUCUUUUAAAAAGAUUAGCUGUCCCCUUGACAAGGUUGGAAGAGGCCCUCAGCCUAAUAACACAAUAAGGGCAUUGCCACUACAUUGUGGCAUGAAAAAUUAUUA